rnacentral:rRNA from 1 species
CAUGGCGCAGCUACCAUGCAGUCGAACGGUAGCACACAGAGCUUGCUCUCGGGUGACGAGUGGCGGACGGGUGAGUAAUGUCUGGGAAACUGCCUGAUGGAGGGGGAUAACUACUGGAAACGGUAGCUAAUACCGCAUAACGUCUCACGACCAAAGAGGGGGACCUUCGGGCCUCUUGCCAUCACAUGUGCCCAGAUGGGAUUAUCUAGUAGGUGGGGUAAUGGCUCACCUAGGCGACAAUCCCUAUCUGGUCUGAGAGGAUGACCACCCACACUGGAACUGAGACACGGUCCACACUCCUACGGGAGGCAGCAGUGGGGAAUAUUGCACAAUGGGCGCAAGCCUGAUGCACCCAUGCCGCGUGUAUGAAAAAAGCCUUCGGGUUGUAAAGUACUUUCACCGGGGAGGAAGGCGUUGUGGUUAAUAACCGCACCGAUUGACGUUACCCGCACAAAAAACACCGGCUAACUCCGUGCCACCACCCGCGGUAAUACGGAGGGUGCAAGCGUUAAUCGGAAUUACUGGGCGUAAAGCGCACGCACGCGGUCUGUCAAGUCUGAUGUGAAAUCCCCGGGCUCAACCUGGGAACUGCAUUCUAAACUGGCAGGCUUGAGUCUUGUAUAGGGGGGUAUAAUUCCAGGUGUAUCGGUGAAAUGCGUAUAGAUCUGGAGGAAUACCGGUGGCGAAGGCGGCCCCCUGGACAAAGACUGACGCUCACGUGCGAAAGCGUGGGGAGCAAACAGGAUUAUAUACCCUGGUAGUCCACGCUGUAAACGAUGUCUACUUGGAGGUUGUGCCCUUGAGGCGUGUCUUCCGGAGCUAACGCGUUAAGUCUACCGCCCUGGGGGAGUACAGCCGCAAUGUGAAAACACACAUGAGUUGACGCGGGGCGCGCACACGCGGUGGUAGCAUGUGGUUUUAUUUCUAUGCACGCGAGAUCCUUAUCCUACUCUUGACAUCUACAGACUUGUCAGAGAUGGCUUGUGCCUUCUGGAACUCUGAGACAGUGCUGCAUGCUGUCGUCACUCUGUUGUGAAAUGAUUGUGGUUAAGUCCCGCACGAGCGCCACCCUUAUCCUUGUGCAGCGAUUCGUC